CUGGGGUUUAGACUGGGGUUUAGACUGGCUUUUAGACUGGGGUUUAGACUGGAGUUUAGACUGAGCUUAAAACUGGAGUUUAGACUGGGGUUAAAACUGGGGUUUAGACUGGGGUUUAAAUUGGGGUUUAGACUGGCUUUUAGACUGGGGUUUAGACUGGAGUUUAGACUGGAGUUUAGACUGGAGUUUAGACUGGGGUUUAGACUGAGAUGUAGUUUAUUUUGUCCUUUAUUUUUUAAUUAUCCAUUGCAU